UAGUGAUUGUAUUCCUGGCUAAAUGGAUAAGUACAUUUCCUGCAGGAACUAAAAGCAAUGGAGGGUAAUUAAUGCAAAUCUCCAUUAGAAACAAUACCGAUAAAAAGUCAGUUAAGUUUGCCCUGAGGAAGAGACACCACUGGUUUGACCAGGUUCAGAACACACAAAGGGCUUGAAUCUGUACAGAAUGACAGCCCUGACCUGGGGAGAGUCAGACACUAUCAAGAACUGACAGGCAUAAGACUGUGAUCACAGACACAGGCCCUGCAGAAGACCUGAAGUAUUUUUAGAUCUUCCAGGUCUCCAUAUGGAAGAUGGGUAACCACUUAGGGACACAACUGCAGUUCAGACCUGCUGAGGUGAUCACAGUUAAUUGAAAAGGUCUGCAAUGUAAGGCCCUGGUCUGGAGGGAGAGAACAACAGGACAACAGUCCAAGAAAGGUGAUGGCUGGAGGUCCACCAGUCUCCUCGCCUGCGAAGGGACAUUCCUAAAUAUUAAAAAAGAAGACGACCGAUGAACACUUCAUGAUGAACAGGGCAUUGAGAAAAGCAGAUGAAAGAGCAAAGGCCAUGACAACCCAUUCAAAUAACGUGGUAUUGAACUGAAGACUCCAGUUGCAGCUUUUAUUGGACUAAAUAUAGUUACAGAAAUAAGCCACAUCUGGAGUUGGAGAAACAGUGAAGAAACAUUUAGCAUCUAUCAGGCAUCUGGCACUGUGGGUGCUGUGUGAAGGCUACAUAGUGCAGCAUCCCCGAUUGAAGAGGGAAAUACAUUUGGGGUGGGACUGGCCUAUUGUAAUUCAGUGUAUUUGAAGGUUUUAGCUUUAAGAGGAUGGUUCCCGGUCAGGCAAAAGGUUACCCAAGCCAAAGGACCUCAAAUAGCAGAGUGUGUUAGUUUAAGACUAGAGUUCAGUCAUACUCUACCCUCCCUGGACUAUUGGUGGCUGGAAGCAGCACUGUGAGAUUGCCUUGCAUCAUCUCUGCCGAUGACCAGUGCUGUUAGAAAAGUGACAAUGAGCUGUGAGAGAGAGAAAUCCAGCCCUUUCCAAUGGGAUGAAGGGUCACUGCGAGCAGUGCAGGUUUAAAAAAUGGCCUCCAAGUGAAUUGCAUUCAGAAACAGUCUUUCAUUUCUUGUAAUUACACUUUAAAAAAAAUCCACUCUUUAUACUUCGAUUUUAUUUUGUUUCAUCCUACAGACAACUGGAAGGAUACAGCCGACCAGGAUAAUCUCUUUGAGUGAUAGCAGCCAUAGAGAACUCACAGUUACUGGGAGUUAUCUAUCUCUGUGAGAUUACUGUUAUAAGUUAUAUGGCAUCACCUGCACGGUACACACUGACACAUAUAUAAAUUCCGAAAUCCAGAAAAAAGGAACUACUAGCCCUUUGGAUGUAUUAAUACAAACAAAGAACCUUUACAAUAAGAAGACAAAGAGUUCACAUGAAUUUCAUUGAAGACUGAACGUAGUCUAACUGGGUUCUAUUCCAAACUCUGCCAUGAUCUGAUUUUUGGCUGCUCAAUAUCCUCUCUGUCCCUUAGCAUCCCUGGGUGAUAUCUUGGUCCCAGUGAAUUCAUGGUAAAGCUCCCACUGAUUUCAAUGGGACCAGGAUUUCUUCUGCCCCUCCUCCCACACAUUCCUCUGUCAAGUGGGAAUAACCAUUUAU